GCGUAAGCGCGCGCAGGUGGUUUCUUAAGUCUGAUGUGAAAGCCCACGGCUCAACCGUGGAGGGUCAUUGGAAACUGGGAGACUUGAGUGCCGAAGAGGAAAGUGGAAUUCCAUGUGUAGCGGUGAAAUGCGUAGAGAUAUGGAGGAACACCAGUGGCGAAGGCGACUUUCUGGUCUGUAACUGACACUGAGGCGCGAAAGCGUGGGGAGCAAACAGGAUUAGAUACCCUGGUAGUCCACGCCGUAAACGAUGAGUGCUAAGUGUUAGAGGGUUUCCGCCCUUUAGUGCUGAAGUUAACGCAUUAAGCACUCCGCCUGGGGAGUACGGCCGCAAGGCUGAAACUCAAAGGAAUUGACGGGGGCCCGCACAAGCGGUGGAGCAUGUGGUUUAAUUCAAAUCAACACGAAGAACCUUACCAGGUCUUGACAUC
rnacentral:rRNA from 1 species